rnacentral:tRNA from 1 species
AAGAAUGAAAGCAAGAACUGCUAACUCAUGCAACCAUACCUUAACAAGUAUGGCAUUCUUA